rnacentral:lncRNA from 1 species
GGUAUUUCUGAGCUUUUAAAAUUUCUUUUUUUUAAACUUUUACUUGGAAUACUUUAUGCAUUGCAGGGAUCCAGUGGAGAAAUUUUUGGUGGCCUAUGCAGUUGAAGGGAAACACUGGAGAAAUCGUUGUCUAUACUGCCAUUUGGAAUGCUCCAUGAGUCUUCAGGACUCCACUGGAGAAAUUUAUGUAUUGAAGGAAACUAUUAGCAGGAUUUUCACCCAGAACACAAAAAUUAUUUUUUUACAUGACGCCCAACUCAGCCCAGCGCACUCCAUCUUUGCUUCUGCUGCUGUUCCUGUCUUCCUAACCCUUGAAGUCCUAGUACAAAUUCUAUGAAACAUCUCCAGUUCCUUCAAGAAACCUUCUUAUUGACUGGUUUUUAGUUUUCUUCUUGAAAAAGAAGAGGCAGCUAACAAACUGAGAGCCACAGGUUUUUUUCAUUGUCGGCUAGCAAGCAUUUGUUAAGAGCUCAAUGUCAGGCAUUGUGCAAAGAGCUGCAGAUACAAAGAAAGAAAAAACAUCUAUCCAAAUCUAUUCUACUGCUGCUUUUACGCAGGUGGACUCUUCGAACCAGGCACCAGCCACAAGACAGUUGUAAAACAGAGCCAGACUCAUCCGAGUCAGAGGGGACAUCUACCUGCUUGCCUUGUUCUUUCUCACCUCAGAAUCCCAUUUCCCCCCACCCCUGCCCCGCAAUAGGGAUCUUCAG